ACACCUCAACUCUUCAUGGUUUUCCAUGAUGAGCUUGGACUUUGGGGGUCUUGCUGGCCUGUGGUCAGCUCCUCUCAAAUGAAUCAGCUUACCAGUGUUUGGUGGGCAUCACAGGUGUGAUAACUAUCUGCGCUUGUGGUUUUCCACCAAGUAACCUUCAGCAGUGGAGGUUCACUGGAGCUCACAGAUGUCUCUCCUCAGUGAGGACAGCCCUUUGAAU
rnacentral:misc_RNA from 1 species